AUACGGGAGGCAGCAGUUCAGAAUCUUGCGCAAUGGGCGAAAGCCUGACGCAGCGAUGCCGCGUGAGCGAUGAAGGCCUUCGGGUCGUAAAGCUCUGUCAGAGGGAACGAUUAUGACGGUACCCUCAGAGGAAGCCACGGCUAAUUACGUGCCAGCAGCCGCGGUAAUACGUAAGUGGCGAGCGUUAUCCGGAAUCACUGGGCGUAAAGCGUUCGUAGGCGGCGCGGAUAGUUGGAUUUGAAAGCCCGGGGCUUAACUCCGGAUCCGGAUCCAAAACUCCCGUGCUUGAGCAUAUCAGAGGGCAGUGGAAUUCCCGGUGUAGCGGUAAUAUGCGUAGAUAUCGGGAGGAACACCAGCGGCGAAGGCGGCUGCCUGGGGUAUUGCUGACGCUGAGGAACGAAAGCCAGGGGAGCAAACGGGAUUAGAUACCCCCGUAGUCCC
rnacentral:rRNA from 1 species